UGGAAACCCUAGUUUUAGGGUUUCCAUAAUACCCGUUUUGCCCCUCCUUAAUCCCCCAUUUUGCCUUCCUUAACCUUGUCAAUUUCUCUUCCUUCUUCCUCCCCUUUAACCUCUAUUUUGGAUCUCUUCAACUCGUGUUUUCAUCUGUCUCUUCAAUCCACGUUUCCCGCAUUCUUUCUUCCUCAAUCUUGCUGAUUUUUCUUCUUCCAUUUUCUCUCUCUACUCCUCUAUUGCUGAUUUUUCUUCUUUCUGUGUGAGACGUUUCGUCGUUCGUUUUAUGGUCCGAAAAAACUCUCCUUGGAUCUAAAACCCCCUUCUGAGAACUUCGUAAUCCAUUUCUAAAUCGAUCUAAACCUUCUCUCUCACUCUCUGAAACUAUGAUUCAUUUUGUUGAAGGCUUCACUCCAACGGUGUUGCCUUCAAAACGUUUCAAUUUCCCCUUUUCGGUUUCGUUGAAUGGCUGGGAUGAUUUUUCUUGCCUCUGAAACUUUGUCUUGCAUGUUCGAUGAGUCUUCUCUAUGAACAUGCAAGUCCUUCAUUGUUGUCCCUUGGAAUUCUCCUUGCCACUCAACAAACCCUUUUAUCGAUCGGUCUUCCCCUUGUCGAUCGGUGUUUCCCUUUACUGAGUUAGGACAUCUGCUACACAUUCCUUGUUGUGGCAAUUAGUGAUUGUCGAGCAUGGUAAGGAGGUAGUUCUCGGUUUGAUUUUUCUUUAUUUUCGAAGCCGAUGAUGAGGUUUACUGUUGCAACUAAUUUCAAUUUUUUUUAGCAUAUUUAAAUAUGUUUGCUUUUAUAUAUAUAUAUAUAUAUAUAUAUAUAUAUAUAUAUAUAGUCAAAUUUUUGUACUCUUUGUGCAAGUUCAAAUCUAUUUUUGUAGUUUAUUUCUGUUCCUUGCUUUUUGUGUUUGUAUUUUGCUUGAUUUACCAAUUUUGUUUCUAUGUUUGUAUGUGAAAUAUGUUCUGUUGAGGUUGUUCUUUCGUCUCUGUGAGGAUUCGACCUUUUUGGAAACUUUCUGAAUUCUAAACUUGUGCUACCCUGUUUUUGUAAUUUUUCUUUACUUGCAUUUACUACUUUAUAUUUCAAUAUUUGAUGAAUGACCGGUCUUAUGGGGAAUCUAUUUGGCCACCUAAUAUGUUCCUUGCAGAUUGUUUUGUCUCUCCAAUCCUUUUGACAGUAUUUUCUUUGUGUACUAAAUGGGGUAGCUUACAUGGUUAGAGUUUGACUAUUGUUGGAUUUUUCUCCUUUUUAUCUUGUCAAUUGUAGAGAUCGUAGAGAUUCUUCUCCAUUUUUUGGUUUGUGGUCAUUAAAGGCAUCAUAACUUUUAUCAUCCCCCUAUAUAUACAUCAACCCUCUUUUGUCAUAUUACUUGUGUUUUUAAGUUCAUUGGUUGUUGGUCACUGUUUUGUUCCUUUUUCUUUGGUAGGUUACCUUCUUUUUCUAUAUUAUUGUCAUCUUCCAUCCCUUUUUGCCUUCCAUCCCUGUUUUACUCCAUGUUAUCAUUACUGUCAUUCACGUAUGUUGCAAUCUUUUCAUUCAUGUUUCAACUACUACAAAUUCGGUUAAAAUCUCUUUAUAUGCUUGUACUUGCAUCUUUCCAUUUCGUUGGUUGUUUGUGUGUCCUUUGUUGUUUCUUCUAUUUUAGUUCACUUUCUCUUUUUCAUAUUAUUAUCAUCCUUCAUCCCUUUCUACCUUGUUUUGUAUCUAUGCUCCAUAUUAUUAUUAGUGCUUACGUGUGUUGCAAUCUUUUAAUUGAUGUUUCAACUACUAUAAAUUCGUUUAAAAUUGCUUUAUAUGGUUUUACUUACAUCUUUUGAGUUCAUUGGUUGUUUUUGUGUCCUCUGUUUCUUCUCCUUUGGUAGUUCACUUUUUUUCUUCUAUAUUAUUAUCAUCUUCCAUCCCUUUCUGCCUUGUUUUGUAUCUAUGCUCCAUGUAAUUUGUGUUUGUUCCUUGUUUUGCAUAUUUUUAAUUGAUGUUUCCACUACUAGAAAUUCGAUUCAAAUUAUUGAACAAAUUUUUUUCCUCUAAAGCUACUUUUUUUCUAAAAUCGUAUACAUUUUCAUGUUUACUAUUAUCGAGCUUCGUUAAUCUUCAUUUCGGGUCCAUUCGUCGACGUACAAGGUACGUAUUGGUUAUGUUUAUUUUAUUUGACAAGUUUCAACUACUCAUCUCAAUUACGAUAGUUCGUGCAAAUGUUACUGUGUAGUUUCCUAAUUUUCUUUUUCUUCUACAAGACGUCGACCUUUAUUACCCUCGUAUACUACAAAUUAGCCGUUUGUAGUAUAUUUUAUAUUUUCUUGUUUUUUUCUUUCUGUUUAUGGUUAGCACAUUGUAAUUUAAAUUGAAUUGUUCACAACAAACUGUCGGUUCUGUACUUUUCCUUGUUUUCGUUUUGUAUUUACACUAUAUUGCACUAUAUGUAGAACAUUUCUAGUAUCCUUUUAUUGUAUGUACGAUAAAAUUGCAUUGCUCUAAAUGUUUUCCUUGCACCUUUAAGUUCGCUUUUGUACAUAUAACAAUCUCCUUAGAUUGCAUUUAACUGUUACUUUCAAUGCGAACAUACUUGCCACAUUAGUGGAAGAAAAUUAGGAACGAAAUAUCUUUUACAAAAGUGACUAGUGUCUUUGACAAUAAAAAGCAUGCCCGCGAAUAUAACGACCAAAAAUUAUAACUUUAAAAAAAUGUCUUAUUACAUUCUCAUGACUAUGUUAAUUUAGGAAAAAAAAUCAUGCCCGCUAAUAUGUUUACAAAUCAUACUAGAAAAUGUUCCAAAGUAUUGUGACUUGUUGUUUUAACACAUCUUACGUUAUUGUUUUUUUCACAUUCGAAACAUAGGUCUAAAACUAGCUAUUUUUUCGUUUUCAAAAUUAAGUGCCACCGGGUUCAUACAAAACUUUAUUAGUGCAAUUUCGUCUGAGUGAUGUGAGUUCAAUAUUUGUAAUUGUUCUUAGUACUAAUUUGAAAUUAUGAUUUUUGCAAGAGUAGUAUAUAUUUUUUAAAGCAUACACAUCCAUUACAAGUCUUGGCAUUCACUGAAAUUAGAAUUUUAAAAAAAGUUGUUUAUAUUUUUCUUAUCAUCUACAUUCAUCACAAGUCUUGUCAUUUUUCAAAUUAGAAUUUUAACAAAGCUAUAGAUAUUUUGUUUUUUGUCAUCCACAUUCACCCUAAAGUCGUUCCAGUUUUCAAACUAGAAUUUUUUCAAGAGUUGUACAUAUGUUUCAAAUUCUAAUUUGAUGUUUACAUCUUUGUUUUGAAUAUGUAUAUCAUCAUUCAUGUGUGACGCAUGCGUUAUAGGUGUAAUAGCAUUCUAAUUAGACACGUACUUAAUCAUGUUAACAGUUGUUACCUUCAAAUGGACCCACAAAACCUUGCGGCAAUCCUAACUGUAUUCACAAUUUCCCAACGUCAGUUACUGCUAACGUUGGAGGCACUCAUGACAACAAUAAGCGCCUAACACUUAUACCCUACGAUACUAGGCAUAGAAUUAGGCAACUUGCGUACUUUCGUAUGAUGCAUGAGAUGGACCUAGUUUGCCACCAAAGUACUCGAAUGGACAAGUGGAUAUUUGUCAUUCUAUGCCAUUUACUAAGGACUGUUACUGGUCUUUCGUUGACAAAAAUUGUCGAUGUGGAAAAAAUGGUUGCAAUAUUCUUGCACGUCCUUGUCCAUUACGUGAAAAAAUGAGUUAUCCAAAGGGAAUUUGUUCGGUUUGAUGCGACUGUUUCCCAUCAUUUCAACCUCAUCUUGUUGGUUGUGAUACGACUACAUGACGAGUUGCUAAAGAAACCGUAGCCAGUAACUAACACAUGCAUCGAUCCACAAUGGAAGUGCUUCGAGAAUUACCUUGGGGCAUUGGAUGGAACGUAUAUAAAGGUGAACGUGUCGCAAACCGAUCGCGCUAGGUACAAAACACGUAAGGGUGAAGUUGCCACUAAUGUCCUCAGAGUGUACAACUCGAAAGGCGAUUUCGAUUCAUUUUGGCAGGCUGGGAAGGAUCUGCAACUGAUUCGCACAUUCUUCAAGAUGCGCUUGUACAGCCAAACAGACUAUAAAUCCCCAAGGAUAUUUACAAUUUCUACUCCUCCCACGACAUUUAAAACUUCCUAUAUCACCGCGUAUAAUCCGUUGUGUAAUGUAAUAGGGUUUUACUAUCUGCACGACAUAGGGUAUCCAAACGCUAAGGGAUUUCUUGCUUCUUACAAAAGUCAGAGGUACCACUUGCAAGAGAGGCGUGGCGUUAGAAACGCACCAACCGCUGUUAAAGAGUAGUUUAACAUGAAACACUUAUCGACACUGAAUGUCAUUGAAUGCACGUUCGAUCUUUUGAAGGGUUGCGACAAUCCUUCAUGGCAAGUCUCACGAUUUUAGCAUGUUAGCUACUGCACAAUUUGAUAAACAGAGAGAUCAUGAAUGUUGAUGAUUUAGAGGACAUUGAUAAGGGAGACUCGGUAUACGCGACGACUGUAGGUGACGACAUUCACUACAUUAAGACCUCCAAUGAAUGGACUCAAUGGCGAGAUGAAUUAGUCACAGAUAUGUUCAACAAAUGGCAGUUGCGUAAUGAGUAGCUCCUACCAUUUGAAAUUAGCAGCCCUUUGUUUUUGUUAUUUUACUAUAGCUACUGUCUUCUUAUAUGUCAAAUGUAUGAGUGCAUGAAUUAAAUUAAUGGAAAACUAUACAUUCCCAUGAUAUACAUUGAACUUGUUUCUUUUGCAUGUGUCCUUACUUUUAACAUUGGACAUAACUUACGUAUGAAUUUCUUUGUUUUCAUUGACGUUGUUAGUAUGGCAAGUUCGUCACAUGCAUCGAAGCAUGUAUGGACAAAGGAGGAGAAGGCCAUACUAGUGGAGUGCUUGGUAGAGUUUGUAUCCACUGGUGGAUGGAAGUCAGACAACGACACAUUCAGACCAGGUUACUGGCCCAACUUGUCCAAAAGAUGGCGGCGAAGUUGCCUGGAUGUAAUGCCCAAGCCACUACUGUUAUAAACUGCGCAUAAAGACAAUUAAGCGGACCUUCCAGGCAAUUGUAGAAAUGUGUGACCCAUCAUGUAAUGGGUUUGAAUGGAAUGAUGAGGCAAAGUGCAUAAUUGCUAAGAAGGAUCUAUUCGACAACUAGACACAUCCUACAGCAGAAGGCCUCCUCAACAAACUAUGCCCCUAUUACGACGAACUAGCCUAUGUGUUUAGGAGAGAUAGGGCGACGGGUCGAGGUGCAGAGACUUUCGCCGACGUCAAGUCCAAUGACCCUAGCGGGUAUGAGGGAUUUCAACUGCAUGAUAGAAACGAUAUAGAGAUCCCCACCAUGUACAACCAGGGCUUUAACAUGUCCAGGAGGAUAUACGGACCCCACGACUUGGUUGAGCAUCCGAUGGUAGGAUUGGAUCAAUCAGAUCAAAGCAAAAAAGGGGGAGGUCAGCGUGUAGAGCAUGUUGACCUCAUUCAUAAGGCGAUGAAGUGUGCGAAUGACCAACUAAGGGUCAUUGUUGAGUGGACUUCUGUUGCGCUUCAGAAUGAAACCACAGUUCACCAGGAAGUCCUUUGCCAAUUGCAUGCGAUCCCCGAACUAAGUAGGUUGGACAGGGUGCACUACUCGCGAAUCCUCUUUUGCAAUUUAGACGACAUGAGAGGUUUCCUUGAGAUACUUGAGGACGAGAAGAUGGACUUCUGCACGGUCCUUCUACGAGAAGACUCUUGAAUGUUCUUCUACUUCCACUGCCUGACUUCAUGUUUUUUUAGUUCGCUCCUUAUAUGAUUUUGACUGUUGUUGCUAAUUCUAUUGGAUGAAAUUGUUUUAGUA